UUGCAAUGAUGAUCAGCGAUUCAUUGAAAGUGUUAUCCUUUCUGGAGAUGCUUGAUGAGAUGUUAGUCCUGAGCGGUUACCUGAGCAA